AGUGAACGCUGGCGGUAGGCCUAACACAUGCAAGUCGAACGGCAGCACAGUAAGAGCUUGCUCUUACGGGUGGCGAGUGGCGGACGGGUGAGGAAUACAUCGGAAUCUACUUUUUCGUGGGGGAUAACGUAGGGAAACGUACGCUAAUACCGCAUACGACCUACGGGUGAAAGCAGGGGAUCUUCGGACCUUGCGCGAUUGAAUGAGCCGAUGUCGGAUUAGCUAGUUGGCGGGGUAAAGGCCCACCAAGGCGACGAUCCGUAGCUGGUCUGAGAGGAUGAUCAGCCACACUGGAACUGAGACACGGUCCAGACUCCUACGGGAGGAAGCAGUGGGGAAUAUUGGACAAUGGGCGAAAGCCUGAUCCAGCCAUACCGCGUGGGUGAAGAAGGCCUUAGGGUUGUAAAGCCCUUUUGUUGGGAAAGAAAAGCAGCAGGUUAAUACCCCGCUGUUCUGACGGUACCCAAAGAAUAAGCACCGGCUAACUUCGUG
rnacentral:rRNA from 1 species